GAUAGAGUAAAGGUGGGUCCCAUUCACUUCGCGCAUUGCACUAAAUGAUAAAAGAACAUAGAAUAUGUACAAGACAGUGUAGCCCUUUGGGUAAGGUCCAAUAUAUAAAUUUUAAAAUACUGAAAUAAAACUACACAUAUCAACUCUUGUCCUUUCAACUAUAAGAACGAUUCGCUUCUGACCAGAGAUAUCGAUGAUUCUUUGCGAACACUUUGUGAUGAUCAAUGCCUGGUUUUGUACUAUCGCAAAAUUUUCCACACAAUUUAAAAAGUUUUGCUCUGAAAAAUCAAUAUUAUGGUAUUUGAUAAAAUAACCAUAAAUUUAUAAUGCUAUAUUUUAUUUAAUACUUUUCCAGAUAUACAGCAACUUUAUCAGCAUUCACAAAAUUUCGUCCUACGAACUAAGCUUAACAUACAAAUUAAAGAUUUUGAAUUUCACGAAGAGAUUUAGCGGAAUGCCUCUUGGAAUUUCGGUGGGAGGGUUUUUCUUUUUUAAGAAAAAUUUACCUAUUAAAAUAGUGGACGCUCUGUAUUCCGUUUUCACUACUCUACUGAAAUUGAGAGAUCUCACCAAAGAGAGUACGUGUCAAUCAACAACUGCAUUUAAUAACACAUACGAUGAACUAUGGUCAUACAUACGAUCUGCAUGAACUAUCUUCGUAUAUAUGUAGUACGAAAUAUGUCGUGUUUACACAGUCGAAAAAUGUGGUCAUUAUAAUUCAUUAAUAUUUAAUAUGGAUGAAUACUGUAGAUAAAAAUUACAAGUAAAUCGUAACUUUUAUUCCCUGCGUACUCGUGACAAAAAUCAAAGAAGUGAAAUCAAAAAACAUUGUAUACCUAUGAAAAUUCCGUUUGUCUUUACAUCAAGCCAAAGAUAUACAUAUGUCAUUUCAUCUAUAUUAUUAUUGUAUGGCCGCGAAUAUCGAUUGAAAUUCUUAGAAUUAAUACUACUUCUGCUUAACAUUAACUUAAAAUAUUUCUUACGGUCGAUGUCUGAAUAAUCGACAAUAUUAUGUAACCAAAACCUUGAUUAUAGAAUGACGAAAUGUUGAAAGUUUUGUUCAUAAAAGUAAUCCUUGAUUAAUUUUUCAAAAUUCGACGACUACUAAAUAUUAUUUGGAGAUACGUAAUAACUUAUAGGCACGUGUUAAUUAUUUUGUAGCAUUUUUCUUAUUGUAUAUAUAGUUAUAACGUAGUUAUAUUCCUCACUACCGUUUCAAUUUUAGUAGGAAAAUUACCCACGUUAUAUUUGUAUUUUAGAA